GUGCUCGCUUCGGCAGCACAUAUACUAAAACUGGAACGAUACAGAGAAGAUUAGCAUGGCCCCUGCGCAUAAAUAUCACAAUAUACCUUAUAUACAAGAGCAACAUGUUUUU
ensembl:snRNA U6 U6 spliceosomal RNA